rnacentral:rRNA from 1 species
AUUGAACGCUGGCGGCAGGCUUAACACAUGCAAGUCGAACGAGUGGCGGACGGGUGAGUAAUGUAUGGGAAACUGCCUGAUGGCGGGGGAUAACUACUGGAAACGGUAGCUAAUACCGCAUACCAUCGGAUGUGCCCAGAUGGGAUUAGCUAGUAGGUGGGGUAACGGCUCACCUAGGCGACGAUCCCUAGCUGGUUUGAGAGGAUGACCAGCCAAACUGGAACUGAGACACGGUCCAGACUCCUACGGGAGGCAGCAGUGGGGAAUAUUGUACAAUGGGCGCAAGCCUGAUGCAGCCAUGCCGCGUGUAUGAUGAAGGCCUUCGGGUUGUAAAGUACUUUUAGCAGGGAGGCGUUACCUGCAGAAGAAGCACCGGCUAACUCCGUGCCAGCAGCCGCGGUAAUAC